rnacentral:rRNA from 1 species
GUUCGGAACGGAUAAGCGCUGAAAGCAUCUAAGCGCCAAGCCUCCCCCAAGACAAGUUUUCCCAGACGCAAGUCUCUGAAGUCAGGUUGUAGACCACGACCUCGAUAGGCCGAAGGUGUAAGCGUAGCGAUACGUUGAGCUGAUCGGUACUAAUAAGACGUGCGGCUUAGCUUA